GACGAACGCUGGCGGCGUGCUUAACACAUGCAAGUCGAACGGAAAGGCCCCAGCUUGCUGGGGUACUCGAGUGGCGAACGGGUGAGUAACACGUGGGUGAUCUGCCCUGCACUCUGGGAUAAGCCUGGGAAACUGGGUCUAAUACCGGAUAGGACCGUGCUUUAGUGUGUGCGGUGGAAAGUUUUUCGGUGCAGGAUGAGCCCGCGGCCUAUCAGCUUGUUGGUGGGGUAAUGGCCUACCAAGGCGGCGACGGGUAGCCGGCCUGAGAGGGUGUACGGCCACAUUGGGACUGAGACACGGCCCAGACUCCUACGGGAGGCAGCAGUGGGGAAUAUUGCACAAUGGGCGCAAGCCUGAUGCAGCGACGCCGCGUGGGGGAUGACGGCCUUCGGGCUGUAAACCCCUUUCGGCAGGGACGAAGCUUUUGUGACGGUACCUGCAUAAGAAGCACUGGCUAACUACGUG
rnacentral:rRNA from 1 species